GUAACACGUGGGAACCUUCCUAGGGGUACGGAACAACUCAGGGAAACUUGAGCUAAUACCGUAUACGUCCGUGAGGAGAAAGAUUUAUCGCCCUUAGACGGGCCCGCGUCGGAUUAGCUAGUUGGUGGGGUAACGGCCUACCAAGGCGACGAUCCGUAGCUGAUCUUAGAGGAUGAUCAGCCACACUGGGACUGAGACACGGCCCAGACUCCUACGGGAGGCAGCAGUGGGGAAUCUUGGACAAUGGGCGCAAGCCUGAUCCAGCCAUGCCGCGUGAGUGAAGAAGGUCUUCGGAUUGUAAAGCUCUUUUGCCAGGGACGAUAAUGACGGUACCUGGAGAAUAAGCCCCGGCAAACUUCGUGCCAGCAGCCGCGGUAAUACGAAGGGGGCUAGCGUUGUUCGGAAUUACUGGGCGUAAAGCGCACGUAGGCGGGUCGUUAAGUCAGGGGUGAAAUCCCGGAGCUCAACUCCGGAACUGCCUUUGAUACUGGCGAUCUAGAGAUCGGAAGAGGUGAGUGGAAUUCCCAGUGUAGAGGUGAAAUUCGUAGAUAUUGGGAAGAACACCAGUGGCGAAGGCGGCUCACUGGUCCGAUACUGACGCUGAGGUG
rnacentral:rRNA from 1 species